AAAACACCUCUCUUCUUCAAUUUAUAUAGUCCAACCCCAAAAAUCUCCUUAGCAAAAUACAAAUCCCUUGGGAGUUUAGGAUGAUUUGCAACGUCUGAAGGAUUUGUCGUUGAUCAAUGAGUUACUGCAUGCACAAAGCGGGAUACCAGCAAUGCCUCUUUCAACCCUUGAAUUCCCCAAAAUUCAACUCAAAAUUCUGCAAUGAACAACACCACCACCAAUGACAACAAUGACCACAACUCCUUCAUGGUACUUGGAAUGAUGUGCUCCAUCUUACCUAGAAAGCUCGACUCAACAGAAAAGAACAGAAAUUUUCUUAGAUACCAACUCAAGAAGUACAUAAGAUGUUUUACUCCUAGUGGUCACAUCCUCUUCGAGUACCAUGUGGAUCUUAAACAUGGACGAUUCUCAUAGCCAAGAUUGGAAUUUUGGUUCCCCUUGUUGCGGUGGACUAGACACUUUACUACAAGAAUAAACCUCAAUUGGUAAUUAACCAAUCUUUUAUUAUGAUUGAAAAAGCAAUUUCAUCAUUUAGGUUGUUUGGAACACCAUGGAAUUAGAAUUGUUUUUAUUUCAAAAUCAAAUUCUUUGUUUGGAAUUAAUGAGAAAAAUAUUGAAUUGAUUUGUGAAUUCUAUAGAUUUACAUUAUAAUUAGAUUUGUCCAAUGCAGCCCACUGCAUUUAUUGGUAGUGAUGAAAAAUUGUGUGGUAAGUAGAUGAUAAAAAUGUAAAAUUAAAUUAUUUAAAAAUGUUAUAUGCAUACAAAAAAUUAGUAAUGAAAUAUAAGCUAGUAUAUAUUUGUGUAUAAAUAUACAUGUUUAACUCAUUUUCAAUGUUUAAUACGUAUUCAAUACGCAUUUAGUGACUGAUUUUUGGCAUACAUAUAACUAGUUGCAAAUCAUUAUAUCAAUUUAUGAAUUAAAUUAACAAAAAUGUUAUUUUCAUACUGAAAAAUCAGCCACCAUAUACACAAAUACAUGUGUAUUUUUUUUUUACAAAGGUAAAUGUCAUUUUAUUAUUAAAAAAAUAAAGGUAUUUUCAUAAGAAAGUACAAAAGAAAUUGGGUUUCCCAAAUCAUCACCAAAAGUGAUUAGAAAUAGCUUAAGAAAGAGUAAAGUAAGAAUAAAGGGAAAUAGCAUCAUCCAUUAGGUAUGGCUAUGAAGUUCACACAGUAAAUUGCUGGCUUCUUGCACUAUCUUUGGCGCUGGGCUUAUUAACUUCUCAAAGACACCGAUUGUUUGCCUUCCAAGCGCUCCAAAACAGCGCCGCAAUGAAGAGGAUCUUUUGUCUUCAUCGAUUUGAGCCGCUGCCUAAGAUAAGGCUCGUUGCUACCAAUUGGAAAAGGUAUAGGUCAGGGGUUAUUAAGUUUAGUAUCCAUAUUAUUGAAGACAGAGGGCAUUGGAACAAGGCAUGAGAAAUUGAUUCAUCUUUUAGCAUGCAUCUUUAGCAAGUGGCAGGGGUGGAUGCAAACCGACCAUGGAUUUGUCGCAACACCGAAAGCUUUGCAUGAAGACUUCCACAAAAAAAAUCUUAAUUUUAUGAGGUAAUUUCAAUUCUCAAAUGCUAUUCGAUACUCUGUUAUUUUGUAUAUUCUGAGGCCUAAGUGAAGUAGGAGAAUGAAAGAACUCAUAAGCAAUCUUCUAUCCUGAUCCAACUUCAUAUAUACCGGAUUUUGUCUAGCACCAAUUAACUUCAUCCUCCUCCUUUGAUGGUUUGAUUGAAAAAAUUUUAUUGCAUAUAUCAAUUGAAAAAAUUGACUGAAUCAGGUUUUUGUUCUAGUUUCUAUCAGGAUUUA